GAGCGGCCCAAGAAAUAGCAAAAAGACAAAAAAAAAAAAAAAGAUCUUGAAAAAAGAGCAGAGUGGAAAGAUUCACAACCAACUUCAAAGUUUUUUACAAAGCUACAGUAGUCAAAACAGUGUGUUAUUAGCAUAUGGAUAGACAUACACAUCAAAGGAAUAUAAAAUAUAAUGGUCCAAAAACAAACCCAUACACUUUGUGAUCAACUGAUACUUAGUAAAGUUGCUAAUGGCAUCCAAUAAGAGUAAUCUUUCAACAAAUGGUUCUGGAACAACUAGGUAGUCACAUACUAAAGGACUCCUUCCUUACACAGAAAUUUUCACUCAAAAUGGAUCAUACACCUAAAUAUAAUAGCUAAAACUAUAAGAUUCUUACAAGGAAACACGGAAGUAAAUCUUCGUGACCUGGAGCUAAACAACAGCUUCUUAGGUAACAACCCCCAAAGUACAAGCAACAAGGGAAAAAAAUGAGCUAAACUUAAUUUUUUGUGCUUUAAGGGACACCACCAAGAGUGAAAAGACAACCCACAAAAUGAGAAAAUUUGAAAAUCAUAUCUGAUAAGGGACUUGUAUCCAGACUACAUGAAGAAUUCAUAACAAGCCUUUUAUACACUAGUACUUAACUAUGGUUACUAUGGAGCAAUGGAACUGUCCAAUGGGACUUUUGUGAUGAAGGAAAUGUUCUCUGUCUUCACUCUCCAAUUUGAUGCCUUCUAGUCCCAUUUGGUAAUUAGGCAACUGCAGUAUAGCUAAUCUUGCACAUGAAGAAACAAUGAAGUGGUCUCUUCAGUAAUGACAAUUUUUUCAACUUGUCAAACUCAAUCAUGGAGCCAGAUAACCGAGAUAUUGACACAAAGAUCUGCACAUGCUCAAUGUCAGGAUGAGAGCUGUUUUUAAAGGCCUAAUAAAUUUUAAGUUGUUUCCUGUUAUUUGAACAUUCCCUUCGGUAUUUGUAUGCUAUUGCUUUUAACUGUCACUGUUGUCAAAAACUCAAUUUACACAUCACUUUCAUGUAUUUCAACCAGUUUUUCUAGUUCAAUAUUGUGAGUUUUAUUCAGGCCCAACUAAAAUAUAUUUUCAAUACUUGCCUUUGUAUUAUGACGUAUUUCUCAUUGAUAAACUUAAGAAAAUAUACCUAGAACAUGAGAAUAUUUGUAUAAAUGUAUGUAAUUUUUUUUCUCAGUUUAACAGCAUUAAAAACAUUUUAGCAUAAGUUUGGCUUUACUGAA